rnacentral:lncRNA from 1 species
UUUAUUCACAGACAUGGUUGGCCAGAAAUGAAAGCAGGCACAAUUAAUCUACUAAACUAAUUGAACCAUGAUUAAAUACUUUCAGUAAACUGAAUUGAUGCUAGAUUUAAACACGAUUGACAACUAAUUCAUACAUAUGAAAAUCUGAGAUAGAAUAUACAUUAGAGUGAUGCUUUAAGCUAGUUACAUAAUCAAAUGAACUGAUAGUUUUCUACAAUGGCCACAUCUCGUGAUCCUUUUGGCUUGUUAGAGCUUUGUGACAAAAUAGCUACAAAUCUAUCCUCACUUGUUAAAUUCAAACACUAUGCUGAGCAAAUUGAAAGAAAGCAUGAAACCAGAUUCCUGCAUCACUUCACAAUUAAGUGUACAUAAUGAGGCUCGCACACCAUUCAGGAAGAAAGAAAAGAAAAAAAGAAGACAGAAUGACAUUCAAACAGAUGCUAAAUCACCUAUUGACAUUCAACAAACCACUCACAUGAUCUUAACAUUCCAACAAUUACACAUAUUAACAAAGAUGAAAACUACAAUAGAUUUAGACUUUAAACAUGCUGAAACUACUAAAACAUUGCAAGAGUAUAGCAUAACCAACCCAACUUCAUUUAGAAUUCAAGUAGAAGCUAACAAGGUGGAAAACGCACCUACUAGCAGUGAAACAGAGAAACACGGAGCAAUCUGAACUUCAAAGCUACAGCUCAAACCAGCAGAAUGAAUACAACAGCAAAAAUAAUGAGUUUUUCAACUCAAACAGCUAUGGAAACCAAGAUAUAUGCAAUAACAGAGUAGGAAUAAAACACAACUUUGAAUCUUCUUUUUGUUUUUGGGUUUUUUCUGUAUUUAGAUGGAAUUUUCAUAAUGUUUUCUUUGAGGGAAAUCAGUGAGAAUUGAGGAUUGAGGAUUGAGUGAAUAUAUGUGUGAUUUCUGCAGAGAAUUAGUCUAUGUGAGUGAGGGAAUUGAGGUAUCUUAUAUAGGGAGUGUACUAUAUGAGAGAAUGAGAGAGAGUGUAUAGGGGAAUCUGUCAGCCUCCCUAAAAAAUAGGAAAAGAGCAUCUUUUCUAAACAGAAAUGGACAGCUGUCCAAUUCAAAUGAUUCCUUCCUAUUUCUCCACCCCACUAACUUCUGAAUUUACCCUUUUUACCCCAAUUCUGACAUAAUUUUCCUUGUCUUAUUGCAUUUUAAUCCUUGCCUAGAAGCUUCCUACAUAACUACCUAAGAUUCCCUAUUUUUCAGAUUCCCUUAGCCCCGUCAAGUUUCUAACAACUACAAAUAAAAUACACCAAAGAAACAAGAGAUAAAAAACAGACAAACAAUAUGCUGAAACUAAAUUAAUGACCUGCUUCAAUAUCCAACUAAUUCUGGACCAAUUAACCUAAAUUUAUGCAAUUAAACUAAUUUCAUGUAAUUGGACUACUGAUUAUACAAUUAAUUGUUUAAAUCUAAGGAUGCAAACAAGUAAUUACCAAACCGGAUGCAAGAGUACAAUUAAUCCAUGAACUAAGCUAUUCUAGCAAAAACUAAAUUAAACAAGCAAAACAAUUUCAAUUAGAUGCUGAUUAAUAGACAAGACAGUGAGUAUAUGAUAGAACGAGAUGUUGGUAUACCGAUUGGAACACACACUGGAGGAGGAAAUGGCCAAACAACGAGGUUCGAACGGAUUCUGGUGGUUUCGAAAUGAAUCGAAACUAACGUAUAUCGAUUGCUCUUGUCAAGAGUAGUCGAUUCACGUAAGUUUCAAGCCAAAACGACUAGCAAAUCAUUGAGAGUCAGAGAUGGGACGAACUCAGCUUUUUCUGGAAAUCAAGAUCUAAUAUUGGGCGAGUUCUAGUGGGUUUCGAAGGGCGAGGUUAGGAUAUUUGGAAAGAGGGGGAAAUAGAGGUUGUCUGGUGUUAGUUUGGUGGUGUUUGGAGUGGUGCCGCCGGUCAGGGAUAGAUUUGGUGACUGAGGGCCGCUAGGGUUUGAGAGAGAGUGAGGAAUUAAAAAUUGUCUCUAGGGUUUGGGGUGUCUGU